rnacentral:rRNA from 1 species
UUUGAUCCUGGCUCAGGAUGAACGCUAGCGACAGGCCUAACACAUGCAAGUCGAGGGGCAGCGAAGAGGUAGCAAUACCUCUGUCGGCGACCGGCGCACGGGUGAGUAACACGUAUGCAAUCCACCUGUAACAGGGGGAUAACCCGGAGAAAUCCGGACUAAUACCCCAUAAUAUGGGCGCUCCGCAUGGAGAGCCCAUUAAAGAGAGCAAUUUUGGUUACAGACGAGCAUGCGCUCCAUUAGCCAGUUGGCGGGGUAACGGCCCACCAAAGCGACGAUGGAUAGGGGUUCUGAGAGGAAGGUCCCCCACAUUGGAACUGAGACACGGUCCAAACUCCUACGGGAGGCAGCAGUGAGGAAUAUUGGUCAAUGGUCGGCAGACUGAACCAGCCAAGUCGCGUGAGGGAAGACGGCCCUACGGGUUGUAAACCUCUUUUGUCGGAGAGUAAAGUACGCUACGUGUAGUGUAUUGCAAGUAUCCGAAGAAAAAGCAUCGGCUAACUCCGUGCCAGCAGCCGCGGUAAUACGGAGGAUGCAAGCGUUAUCCGGAUUUAUUGGGUUUAAAGGGUGCGUAGGCGGCACGCCAAGUCAGCGGUGAAAUUUCCGGGCUCAACCCGGACUGUGCCGUUGAAACUGGCGAGCUAGAGUACACAAGAGGCAGGCGGAAUGCGUGGUGUAGCGGUGAAAUGCAUAGAUAUCACGCAGAACCCCGAUUGCGAAGGCAGCCUGCUAGGGUGAAACAGACGCUGAGGCACGAAAGCGUGGGUAUCGAACAGGAUUAGAUACCCUGGUAGUCCACGCAGUAAACGAUGAAUACUAACUGUUUGCGAUACAAUGUAAGCGGUACAGCGAAAGCGUUAAGUAUUCCACCUGGGGAGUACGCCGGCAACGGUGAAACUCAAAGGAAUUGACGGGGGCCCGCACAAGCGGAGGAACAUGUGGUUUAAUUCGAUGAUACGCGAGGAACCUUACCCGGGCUCAAACGCAGGGGGAAUAUAUAUGAAAGUAUAUAGCUAGCAAUAGUCACCUGCGAGGUGCUGCAUGGUUGUCGUCAGCUCGUGCCGUGAGGUGUCGGCUUAAGUGCCAUAACGAGCGCAACCCCUAUCGACAGUUACUAACGGGUGAAGCCGAGGACUCUGUCGAGACUGCCGGCGCAAGCCGCGAGGAAGGUGGGGAUGACGUCAAAUCAGCACGGCCCUUACGUCCGGGGCGACACACGUGUUACAAUGGCAGGUACAGAAGGCA